rfam:Roseburia sp. 831b contig000001, whole genome shotgun sequence.
GAGAACUAAAUAUGCGAAAAGUCAAAUGAGAGGGUAACGCCUCGAAGGGCUUCCUUGAUACUCCGACUGGCACGGAUUAGGUAAAUAUGAAGUGUCAGAAGCUCGGUGAAGUCGGCAGAAGCAUACCGAAACAUUAGGUUGUCGAAAGAUUCCCAGAGGUGGGAGUUGUAUGUGAUAUGCCGGAGGUCUAUAAA